UACGAAGGGGGCUAGCGUUGUUCGGAUUUACUGGGCGUAAAGCGCACGUAGGCGGAUCGUUAAGUCGGGGGUGAAAUCCUGGAGCUCAACUCCAGAACUGCCUUCGAUACUGGCGAUCUCGAGUCCGGAAGAGGUGGGUGGAACUCCUAGUGUAGAGGUGGAAUUCGUAGAUAUUAGGAAGAACACCAGUGGCGAAGGCGGCUCACUGGCCCGGUACUGACGCUGAGGUGCGAAAGCGUGGGGAGCAAACAGG
rnacentral:rRNA from 1 species